CAGAAUUAUUAUCAGUAUUAAUUACGCUUUCUUACCAUAUAAACAAAUUAUUAAUUAAAUUGCAUUUAAACAAUGGGAUUUCUUAAGAAAAUUGGCAAGAGAAUUGAACGUGUCGGCCAAAAUACCAGAGAUGCCACAAUCCAGACGAUUGCAGUAGCUCAACAGGCAGCAAAUGUGGUGGCAACUGUGA